rnacentral:rRNA from 1 species
GAUGAACGCUGGCGGCGUGCCUAAUACAUGCAAGUCGAGCGAACAGAUGAGGAGCUUGCUCCUCUGACGUUAGCGGCGGACGGGUGAGUAACACGUGGAUAACCUACCUAUAAGACUGGGAUAACUUCGGGAAACCGGAGCUAAUACCGGAUAAUAUAUUGAACCGCAUGGUUCAAUAGUGAAAGACGGUUUUGCUGUCACUUAUAGAUGGAUCCGCGCCGCAUUAGCUAGUUGGUAAGGUAACGGCUUACCAAGGCAACGAUGCGUAGCCGACCUGAGAGGUGAUCGGCCACACUGGAACUGAGACACGGUCCAGACUCCUACGGGAGGCAGCAGUAGGGAAUCUUCCGCAAUGGGCGAAAGCCUGACGGAGCAACGCCGCGUGAGUGAUGAAGGUCUUCGGAUCGUAAAACUCUGUUAUUAGGGAAGAACAAAUGUGUAAGUAACUAUGCACGUCUUGACGGUACCUAAUCAGAAAGCCACGGCUAACUACGUG